rnacentral:lncRNA from 1 species
CUCUUCACCCAUUCCUCUUGUCUCGUUUUAGAUCAGUCCAUUGUCGUUGAUUCCCACAGGUUUGUUUUCCAUUUCUUGUUGAUCCCAAUCCUCGGUUCUUCACCGUGCAUUCUCCUGUUUAUGAUUCGUUUCUUAUCAAAGCUCUAAACUUUAUGUCUAGGAUUUGUGAAAAGAACAAACCUUUCCCUCUGAAAUUGAGAAGAUUGAGUUUCUCUGUUUCUGUCUGUUUUAGUUUUCGAAGCCAAUUGUGGUUUAGAGUGUGAAGGUUUUGACUUUAUGAGUUGAGAUUGAAGCCCACUCUUGAUUUGCAACAACAUUUUGUGUUUUUUUUCUAAUUUUGUCCUCAUUUAUGGCUUUGGUAUAUCUUAUGUUUUGAUCCCAAAUUUGAUCAUACAUUAAAUUGAGAAGACUUUGUCUUGCUGUAGUUCCAAUGAGGACAAAAAUACAGUGAUGGGUCCUAUAUAUUCUCGUGUUUAUCUUCCUCUUGGUUAAGAGUUAAGACAAACUGAUAAGUAUGAGCAAAAGAGGCUCUCUUUUUCUUUUUUCUUGUCUUAUGUCAUCACCAUGACUGUAACGGUUUGAGCUGAAUAAGAUUCAAUGUUUCUAUAAUUGUCUCU